GUUAAUAUAUAAAUUAUUAACACCUUGCAGUAGUGUGUAGAGGCUGGGAAUCCAUUCUGUAGGGUGCUACACAAACAUACAGCAAAUGAUAGUUAUGUAAAUAAGAUUAUUUAACUUUAUAGUUGCCCCUUUAAUAAAGUUUGAGAUUGUAGCUAGCCAGCAGAUUACCUUCAUGUGAUAUGAGUUCAGUACAUCGGCAACAUUUUCUUUAGAAGGAGAUUUUAGUGCUAUCAAAUCUUCCUCUAGUGCGGGCAGCUACCAAAAAAAAAAAAAAAAAAAAAGGCAAAUUAAAAUAAUAGGGGAAUAAAAUGUAUUUCCAGCUAGAUUAUUUUAACAGUUAUGGAUUAAAGACUCUUGACCUGAUUUAAAGAGGUGAUAAGCAGACAAUGGGAGCAGCAGAUGCUCAGCACUUCUGAAAACUGAGCAGUCUGGACUGAAUGACACCUUUGGAGAUCAGUACAGAGGGCCUCUUCCUAAGCAGAACCUCUGUGUGGUGGGGCAGAGAGCCACCAUACCCCUACCUAUCAUGAAAGAGUUAAAGAACUGCUGUGGUCACAAUCAGCCCCAAACUGCUGCAUCUGUGCAGUUUCUCAGGCCUGGGGAUGAGCCCUUAAAAGGGAAGAACUCAGGCUAGCUGGGGGUGGUGCUCUGAAACAAUCAGAUCUAGAGUUCUCAGACCAGAGUUCUAGGCUAUGUGUUAAAGAACAGAGCACUACCAUCCUGAGACCACUGAGAAAAGAAGAUGCGCUGGUUUUGUUGUUGAAACUCCCAGUUCUAACUCUUGACUUUUAGCUCCAUAGGAGGAUGGGAACUGAGAUUUUCUGUGGAGCCUGAAAGUCUGCUUCCCCUUCUCUUCAUGAAGAAGAGGGUCUCCUACCUGGAGAGUCUAAAAGCUAUUUUCUUCUCUGUAUGGACUAUUUUACAACCCCCAGGAAGGAGGUGCAAUUGCUAUGAUGUACAGUUGGAGGACUAUAUUUCAGACCACAGGACUGCUGUUGCUCACAGAACAACAUAUAAGCCCCUCUUGAGUGCUUCUUCCAUCCCAUCCUUGGCUCCAGAAAUCUCCCUUCAUAGUGGCCUCGGAAAUGAGAUUCACAUGUGGUAACCACUGGAUACUAAAAAGUCACUAUUGGUACCUAACAAAUCUGGUAACAGUGAUAUAGUAUCAAACAUACCAGACUGUCAGUCAAGCCCAAAAUAAACACUACAGUAGGGGUUCCCAACCCAAUUGAGAUGGAGAGGAGGCAGCUUAGACUGCUCAAGAGGAAAUUGCAAUAAUUGCAAGAUGUGACUAAGACCAUCACAGGGUCUACAAUGAAGAUAUAAACAAAGGAAGCUUGUGAUAUCCUAUAUCCACUUGGCCCUCUGUGGAGAGUAAAGGAGAUUUACAGCACCACAAGUACUGUCCAGUUGAAGGCAAUGCCAGAGGGUAUAGAGAGAAGUCAGUGGUGUAAGCUGAGCUGCUGACUUAUUUUCUAUUCACGAUCUCAAGGUAGUUUCUUGUCCAGCUGGCUGUGGAAGCAACAAGAUGAAAGAAAAGAGAACAAGAAAGAAAACCAACAGAAUAAAGGAGACAGUAGUAGCUGCAUCAGGGCAUGGCAGAAGAGGACUUGUCAGUGAAGUAGUACCCAGUCAUUACAGGAUAACUCCAACCAAAACCAGUUAAGAACCACUGAUCUAUGGCCAAACACCUGUGUCCCUUCUUGACUUCAGAGUGAACACAGCACAAUUAUGGUCCAAAAGGAAGCAUGACAGAACCUGGUACCCUGAGCUGCGACGGAUGCAGAUAUAAAAAACUGCCCAAAAAAUGGGAAGAGUAUUCAAGUGCUCUGCUUCUAACACUACUACUUAGCAACUACAUUACUGCAUUUUCCAAAUACUUGUCAAACACUGUAACACCGCUGCAAGGUAGGUAGAUUACAUAAAGAUUUUAUUUUAGAAAUGGUAAAACAGAUGCAGAAAUGUUAAGUGGUUUGUUCAAGACAAAGAUCAGAAUUGGGAUUAGAAAUCCUGAGCUUUAGGAUUUUAAUACUGUGCUCAAACUACUUUCUUACUCGGGAUGAAGAUCUGAGUUUGUCAUCUGUCUCCAGCUCCAGACUGGCAGAUAUACUAAUAUCAGUCUCAGAAGUAAAAAGAUGAAGCAAAGUAUUACACAAGUUACUGUUGUGAACUAGCACCCUGUGGUAAAUUCAUGGAGUAAAGUCUUUUGGAGAAAUAAGUUUUCACAUUCUCUGUGUAAGGAAAAAUAAGUACCUGAAUAAUGGAAAAUAAAGACAACCUAAAAUACUUAUCAAAAUGGAGGGAUUAACAAGAAUUGAACUGUGGAAAGAGUUUCAAUUACCUCCUGAUAGAAAGCUAUAAUUUUACCCCCAAAUGAUAAACUCCAGGGCACAAAACGAUUGUGUAAAUAACCUGUUUUUCUGAUUUAUGGCAUUACACAGUUCAUUUAGGAAAACUGCCAUAACUCAGAUGUAGGAAACUUACUACAGAAUUAGUCACUUUGUCAGAAUGCUCUUUUCUCUCCCCUUAUUCUGAGAGAACCUUUCUUCAACCUCAUCUCUCCAACUGAGCUUCCCCUUCCUUACAGUCUCUAGAACAUUCAAGAAUUUUACCACCUUUCACAUACCUCUCCUCUAGCUUCCUGCUGAUCCACUGCAAUCUGGGUUAUGCCCUCUCUACUCCACCAACACAACCUCAAAGUCUUUAACAACCUCCUCCUAGCAGAGUCACCAUGCUUUUCUAUUCCUAUUCCACUCAAUAUGUCUUUUUCCCUAAGAACAACUGUUCACUCCCUCAUCCUCUGGGCUUCUGAGAUUCUGUAACCUCCUAGUGAUCCCCUACUCUGCUGAAUGCCCUAUGUGUAUGUAUGUAGCUACUCAUCUUCUCCUAUCCCCAGCUCUGUUGAUGUCCGUGCUAUAUCACGUCUCUAUCCUUUUAGGUUACUGAGAUAUUGAGUACAGAUAAUCUGCUCCCCUGGUUUGAACCACCACAUGUAUGUUGAUGCAGAAAUCUACCUCUCCAUCCACUCUCAUUUCCAGUUAUCAGAUAUCUGCCCUCACAUGUUACCACUAUGUGAAAUCCACUCUUCAGAAUUCAACUGCUUUCCUCUUAAUCCAUUCAAACCAAAAUGGACAGACAAGCAGAAUAUAUACAUCAGCACUGCAAUCUUUGUAAUCACUCAUUUUGAUUACUGUAACCUUUUUCUCUGACCCAACUAUGUAAAAUAUUGAUGUGAAAUACUUUUUUUUUUUUCUCCUGCACUCAAACCAAAUUCUCCUAGCUUCCCCCCCACGCUCAAAAAACCUUCUAAUUGGUAUCUUACAACCACUGCAUCCUAUUCAACUCUUCAUACUCAUCUUUUUCUUCAAUCUCUUCUCUUCCCUGCACUCCUCUCAAUCCUGCUUCGUCUUUCCACAAUUCUAAGCUCCUUGCCUCUUAAACUGUCCCUGAGACUUGCAACGUUUCCCUCUUCACAGCCACACACCCUCUCUCUUCUUCAAAUCCCUCCUUAAAACAGAAGCACUGUGGCCUAUUAGAUUGAGCACAGCUGGAGGUGGGAGUCAGCAACCCUGAACUGUUAUCUAAGUUCUGUGACCGAUUCAACUAGUAGCCUUGAGCAAGUCACUUCAACUCUCUGGGUGAAGUUUUGGCCCACUAAAGUCAUUGUUCCCAUUUGUAAAAUGAAGGUACCACUACUUUUUGUAUAGUACCUUUUACAAGGUGGUCUGAGAAUUAGAUAGCUUUUCACAUAUAUGUUAAAUAGUUAUGUAAGAUUGUUUUUAAAAUCCUCCUCCUCCUCCUCCAUGAUUUUCUUUCUUAUUUUGGUGUUAUCAGUAAAACUUUUUAUACCCUCCUGCCCAUGCACUGCCAUCCUAUGUUUUUAUCCUCUCUCAGAUUGAAACUCCUACAGGCAGGAACUCUUAUUUUAUGAUCCGUAAAGUUCUAUGUAUAUUUUUAGUGGCACAAGUACUUUUUUUACAUUUAUGCAUCAUCUGAAAACCACUAGUUUCAUUAAAGAAGGAAAACUCUUGAAAUAAGUAAAUAAGACAAUUGAAUAAUAUUGUCUCUAGAUACCCUGACACUUUAAGAAUGCACUAAAA